AGCCGCUCGCUGCAGCCUGUAGGAAGGCGGAGUUGGACAUCCAACCCCGCCCACAUCCAACUCCGCCCAUGUCCAACUCCGCCUUACGUCUAAAGCAACACCCACCUUACGUCCGUCACGAACGCCUACAUUUACUCCCGGUAAACAGGAAUUGUAGCCGAGAAAGCAGCUAAAGCAUCUAUCUGAUUUAUAUCUCCGGUUAUGGCGCAUCCAACACAUGUCCAGGCCACUCCUGACCCUUCACGGUUUGGCCAGUGUGGUGUUUUCAAAUGCCCCUGCUUCAGUUUUGACACUGACCAGCGAUUUAAUAACAGCCUACAUCUACAAAACCAUAUCAAACAAGCAGUCGAGAAUAACGGAAAGUUCAGCGUGUUGAACGUGUGACUGAUGAAGGAGAUAGAAUGGGCAACGUCUCCUUUGAACAGAUGCCCCUUAUUCUCAUAGAUACAGUUCUGGAAGAGGGUGACAAAGCUUUUUUAAAGCUGUCACUGGUUUGUCGUCUCUUCCGGGACAUUGUUUGGACAACAAUCAUUCCGGGCCCGGGCACAUUUCGAGUGGCUUGACAGUGUAGUGCCAUGAAAACAUCACAGUGCUGCAUGUAAAGACGAGUUUCGCAGGAUGUACGAACUGCAGUGCUGCCAGAACUGUCAAGAAACUUAUAAAGACUGCAUACUGGGCUACGUUGGGCAUGGGAGACGAGGGGAGCUUGUGGCAUUUUACAGCGAAAACGAGCACCCUGGAUUCUGCAGCCAGCUUCAUGAGUGGCUGGGUGUGUGAGUGGCUGGGUGUGUGAGUGGCUGGGUGUGUGAGUGGCAGGGUGUGUGAGUGGCAGGGUGUGUGAGUGGCAGGGUGUGUGAGUGGCAGGGUGUGUGAGUGGCUGGGUGUGUGAGUGGCUGGGUGUGUGAGUGGCUGGGUGUGUGAGUGGCUGGGUGUGUGAGUGGCUGGGUGUGUGAGUGGCUGGGUGUGUGAGUGGCAGGGUGUGUGAGUGGCAGGGUGUGUGAGUGGCAGGGUGUGUGAGUGGCAGGGUGUGUGAGUGGCAGGGUGUGUGAGUGGCAGGGUGUGUGAGUGGCAGGGUGUGUGAGUGGCAGGGUGUGUGAGUGGCUGGGUGUGUGAGUGGCUGGGUGUGUGAGUGGCUGGGUGUGUGAGUGGCUGGGUGUGUG